AGUGGGUAGCACAGUGAUUGAUUGACAUAGGUGAUGUCCUUGUGGAUGUCUAGAUGAAUCAGUCCUGUAAAGUUUGAGCUUUAGUUAUAUUCCCUUUCAGAGCUGUUUAGUGGUAGUACGUAACUGCGCAUUAACAUCAUCAUGGGUCAGAUAGCAUAUCUUUGUCAUAGACUCCCUCUUAAAUUCAGAAACUCCUCAGACACUACUGCUUUAAUCUUUUUGCAUCAAGUGGUGAAGAUUUACCAUCGGUGUACAAAGUGCACCCAUAUCUUCCUCCUGGAGCCACUGCUUCAUACAAUAACUUACAAUGCCUAACACACCCAUGUUUAGAAAGUAGAACUUCUGCUACUAAGUUGCCAAAAGUUCUGUUAAUAUAUCAAGAACAUACUUUUUUUUUUAAUAAAGCUAACCAAAAGGCUUAUGUAAGUUGUGAAAUUAAUCUUUGCCUUUAUCUCAUGUUGUGAGAAAGCUCAAAGCUUGAGUGUCCUUUAAUACAUUAUUUAUUCUUGGAAAAAAAUAUUUUGAGUAACUUGGCUCUGAGUGGCAACCAAGAUAAAAGAAAACUCAGUUCCUACUGUUCUGCUGGUCUUUAUGACUUUAAACUGUACGCACCAUUGCUCAUGCUACAGCCCUUUAAAAAUGUUACUUUUUAUAGUAAAUUCAUCUCUUGGUAUCAUUUUGCUCAUGUUACUUAGGUUUGUAACUAUUUUUCUUAUCUCCCAUCAGAUUUUGCAGUAUCGCUUGGCUCGCAAUGGUGUGCAAACAAAGUUAACGUCACAUAUGAACCUGACCUGUUGUGUCCUCUGUCAGUUUGCUGAAGUUCACCUGCUGUCUAAAAGCUGUACACUAGUCUCUGUUCUUUCACGAAAAUACAAAUUCUAAAAUUAAAGUUUCAGCACAGAAUUUAUUCUGCCUGCUUAUCUGAUUGACAACAUACCCUACUGACUCAUACACCAUCUGCUAAAGACAUCAGCAAGGACUGUUGCUAAGUGAAUGUCAAUGAUUUAUUACAUAUUGAGCUUCUGGAUGGUUAUUCUUAAAGGACAGGCAGAAAUCUAUUCCUAGCAAUUCAGAAGCAAAAUUAUGAAUAUACUAUAGUUUUACUCCCAUGCUGAUCAGGUAGGACUGUGUUCUGAUAAUGUCAACAUCCGUAGAGUUUGGUUUUGCAUCUCUUAUCACUUUCUACAAGGUCAAAGAAAAAUAAGAAUUCUUUAGAAUUACUAAGUGGGCGCUGCUACCCAAUCUCAGAUUCUCCAGAUAGAAAUCAGUCUUCUCUCUUCAAGGAUCAACUCAUAAUUUGUCGGGAGUAAUUCAGUCUAAUGCAGAACAAAUUAAUUCUUAGAGAAAUUCAACAGCAAUGAGUGGCUCCCUAGCAACUCUAGCUUGCCACUUGCUCCAUUGUAAUCUUGGCCUAUAGUCACCAACAUGUCAGGACACUGUACUGAGCAGUACCACCAGCACCCCCCUUAUUGAGAGGUUGGCAUCAAUUUUCAUCCUGGCAGUGGCAAGUACUCCUAUCACUGAGGGAGUGCAAGA